rnacentral:lncRNA from 1 species
AUUGGAUGACUACUACAUUCCAGGCACUAUUCUAGUUCUUAAAACAGAGCCUGGCCCAGAGUGGGCACUCAGUCAAAUUUUGUUGAGUAAACGAACAGUGAGCAAAACCCAGACACAGUCCCUGCCCUCAUGCAGCUUACAGACUGGUGGGGGAGUCUACAUUAAUAUAAUAUUAUGAAUAAAUUUAUAACUGUGAUACAUGCUAGGAAAACAAAUUACAGAGCGCUGUUAGAGUAAUAUUAACUAGAGGACUGGAAAAGUCUAGGAGUUGGGGGGGAGGGGGUGUUGGUGAAAUGGAGACCUGAAGGUAUUAUGGAUUUUAACUGAUUUCACCAGGAUGAAAAGGCUUGUGGGAGUUAUGAGCACAGAACUCCAUUGUCCACUGCACUGGUCUUUCCUCUAAACUCCAUGGCACCCACCACAGAAUGGAGAAACGGACAACAUUCAUUGAAUACCUCUUAACUGAUAAAACUGACAGUCUCAGUCCUGGCUUCAGAUUUGAAUCACCUGGGAAGAUUUAAAAGCACUACCCUGGAGCAACGAAAUCAGACUUUCUGGGGACGGAGCCCAGACGUCAGUAUUUUCAAGAGUUCCCCAGGAGACUGCAAUGAACAGCCCUGGUCAACACCAAACAAAUGAAGAAUUGAUGCAUUCUUUGGAUACUCAAGAAAAAAAGAGAAAUGAUGGUGGACAAACACCUUCUGGAAGAGUGGAAUAGGAAGGCAGCACUUUCCACACUUGCAGAUAGCUCUGCAUUAGAGUAUCACCUAUUCGUGAGAAAUCUAAGGAUGACAAAAAUGAACCAGAAAGGCUUUCUUUGAAAGAAAAACUACCUCAGUAUCAUUAAAAAAAAAAAAUCCUGGGGAGGGGGAGGAAUUCUUUAGUUCCUAAAGGAAAAAUGUUAAAAAAUAUCUUCUCAAAGUCAUCAAUGAAGAGACGGCAUUAUUUGAAGAUAGGAGAGUCAGAAAGAAAAUAUGCUAGUUUUAUAUGCCUUCCUGACGUUCACAGACCAGAGUUUCCAGGGGCUGGAUAAUUCUGCAAAAGUACUCUGGAGUUUCAACAAUGACAUGAUUGUCAUUUUUGUUUUUUAAGAUCACAGUUUUUUUAAACAGAUCAAAAAUUAUUUCAUA